CCCAGACUCCUACGGGAGGCAGCAGUGGGGAAUAUUGCACAAUGGGGGAAACCCUGAUGCAGCGACGCCGCGUGAGUGAAGAAGUAUUUCGGUAUGUAAAGCUCUAUCAGCAGGGAAGAAAAUGACGGUACCUGAUUAAGAAGCCCCGGCUAACUACGUGCCAGCAGCCGCGGUAAUACGUAGGGGGCAAGCGUUAUCCGGAUUUACUGGGUGUAAAGGGAGCGUAGACGGUGAUGCAAGUCAGAAGUGAAAGCCCGGGGCUCAACUCCGGGACUGCUUUUGAAACUGUGUGACUGGAGUGCAGGAGAGGUAAGCGGAAUUCCUGGUGUAGCGGUGAAAUGCGUAGAUAUCAGGAGGAACACCAGUGGCGAAGGCGGCUUACUGGACUGUAACUGACGUUGAGGCUCGAAAGCGUGGGGAGCAAACAGGAUUAGAUACCCGAGUAGG
rnacentral:rRNA from 1 species